rnacentral:rRNA from 1 species
UACGAAGGGGGCUGGCGUUGUUCGGAAUUACUGGGCGUAAAGCGCGCGCAGGCGGUCUUCCAAGUCAGUGGUGAAAGCCCGGAGCUCAACUCCGGAACUGCCAUUGAAACUGUGAGACUUGAGGAUGAGAGAGGUGAGUGGAAUUCCCAGUGUAGAGGUGAAAUUCGUAGAUAUUGGGAAGAACACCGGUGGCGAAGGCGGCUCACUGGCUCAUUUCUGACGCUCAGGCGCGACAGCGUGGGGAUCAAACAGG